CGGCGGACGGGUGAGUAACACGUGGAUAACCUACCUAUAAGACUGGGAUAACUUCGGGAAACCGGAGCUAAUACCGGAUAAUAUAUUGAACCGCAUGGUUCAAUAGUGAAAGACGGUUUUGCUGUCACUUAUAGAUGGAUCCGCGCCGCAUUAGCUAGUCGGUAAGGUAACGGCUUACCAAGGCAACGAUGCGUAGCCGACCUGAGAGGGUGAUCGGCCACACUGGAACUGAGACACGGUCCAGACUCCUACGGGAGGCAGCAGNG
rnacentral:rRNA from 1 species